UAGAGUUUGAUCCUGGCUCAGAUUGAACGCUGGCGGCAGGCCUAACACAUGCAAGUCGAGCGGUAGCACAAGAGAGCUUGCUCUCUGGGUGACGAGCGGCGGACGGGUGAGUAAUGUCUGGGAAACUGCCUGAUGGCGGGGGAUAACUAGUGGAAACGGUAGCUAAUACCGCAUAACGUCGCAAGACCAAAGUGGGGGAUCUUCGGGCCUCACGCCAUCAGAUGUGCCCAGGUGGGAUUAGCUGGUAGGUGGGGUAACGGCUCACCUAGGCGACGAUCCCUAGCUGGUCUGAGAGGAUGACCAGCCACACUGGAACUGAGACACGGUCCAGACUCCUACGGGAGGCAGCAGUGGGGAAUAUUGCACAAUGGGCGCAAGCCUGAUGCAGCCAUGCCGCGUGUGUGAAGAAGGCCUUCGGGUUGUAAAGCACUCUCAGCGAGGAGGAAGGGUAAUGUGUUAAUAAGACAUUGC
rnacentral:rRNA from 1 species